CCUGAGGUCAAAAUUUGUUUAUUUUAAUACUUAGCAACCUACAUAAGACCAGUUGGACCAUAGAACCUGCAUUAAAAUGGUGAACGUCUGAUGAACUAAUGUGAUGACUAAAAACCUGAGAGCAAGAUUGAGUGUUCUGGGAAUCCCUUGAACUAAUGUGAUGAUUAUAAACCUGAGGUCAAAAUUAUGAGUGUUGUUGGGAAUUUUCUUUAAAAAUCAUAAUUAGCUAAGUACUUGUUAUUAACUUCACAAUAAACAUGGACUUAUUAUACAAAAGUUACAUGGGAAGUUAAACAUAUCAUUGAGAAGUGCCCGCUAAAUGGAUGGGAGGUUUAGAACAUGACACAGGCCUAGCCUAGUGUGGUAGCCCUUGUUAUAUCACCACCUUCUAAUUUUUACCAAACACUGCAACCUAUAUUUUUUGUAACUUUCAUAAUCUUUAGUUUAAAUAAAUUUUUUUUUCAUUUUUUCAGAAUUUAUUUUGAUUUUUAAUCAAUCAUUAAAUUUAAAGUUUUUUGUAAAUACUCAUUUGUAGUUUGGUUCGUUUUAAAUGUUGCCAAUAAAUAAUUGUUAAUUA